rnacentral:rRNA from 1 species
GAUGAACGCUGGCGGCGUGCCUAAUACAUGCAGGUCGAGCGAACAGAUAAGGAGCUUGCUCCUUUGACGUUAGCGGCGGACGGGUGAGUAACACGUGGGUAACCUACCUAUAAGACUGGAAUAACUCCGGGAAACCGGGGCUAAUGCAGGAUAACAUGUUGAACCGCAUGGUUCUACAGUGAAAGGCGGCUUUGCUGUCACUUAUAGAUGGACCCGCGCCGUAUUAGCUAGUUGGUGAGGUAACGGCUCACCAAGGCAACGAUACGUAGCCGACCUGAGAGGGUGAUCGGCCACACUGGAACUGAGACACGGUCCAGACUCCUACGGGAGGCAGCAGUAGGGAAUCUUCCGCAAUGGGCGAAAGCCUGACGGAGCAACGCCGCGUGAGUGAUGAAGGUCUUCGGAUCGUAAAACUCUGUUAUUAGGGAAGAACAAAUGCGUAAGUAACUGUGCGCGUCUUGACGGUACCUAAUCAGAAAGCCACGGCUAACUACGUG